UAACGCGUGGGCAACCUGCCUUACACAGGGGGAUAACAGUUAGAAAUGACUGCUAAUACCGCAUAAGACCACAUUGCCGCAUGGCAGGGUGGUAAAAACUCCGGUGGUGUAAGAUGGGCCCGCGUCUGAUUAGGUAGUUGGCAGGGUAGAGGCCUACCAAGCCUACGAUCAGUAGCCGGCCUGAGAGGGUGGACGGCCACAUUGGGACUGAGACACGGCCCAAACUCCUACGGGAGGCAGCAGUGGGGAAUAUUGCACAAUGGGGGAAACCCUGAUGCAGCGACGCCGCGUGAGUGAGGAAGUAUUUCGGUAUGUAAAGCUCUAUCAGCAGGGAAGAAAAUGACGGUACCUGACUAAGAAGCCCCGGCUAACUACGUGCCAGCAGCCGCGGUAAUACGUAGGGGGCAAGCGUUAUCCGGAUUUACUGGGUGUAAAGGGAGCGUAGACGGAGGAGCAAGUCUGAUGUGAAAAUCCGGGGCCCAACCCCGGAACUGCAUUGGAAACUGUUUAUCUAGAGUGUCGGAGAGGCAAGUGGAAUUCCUAGUGUAGCGGUGAAAUGCGUAGAUAUUAGGAGGAACACCAGUGGCGAAGGCGGCUUGCUGGACGAUGACUGACGUUAAGGCUCGAAAGCGUGGGGAGCAAACAGGAUUAGAUACCCUGGUAGUCCACGCCGUAAACGAUGACUACUAGGUGU
rnacentral:rRNA from 1 species